CGUCUGUCAUCCUCUUCGGCAGCCCUAAACCUCCACGAUGGCGCGCCGCACGCAGAGAUGUGCCCACGUCCUCAAUCUGCCUCCACGACGGCGCGCCGCACCACGACUUCAAUCUCCCCCCCCCCCACGACCUCAACCGCUCUGCCAGAGUCAACACCGUCCAGCUCCGGUCACCGGUUCAUGGAGGCGGCGGCGGUACUCCUUCGGCAGGCAAAGGAGCAAAGUUGGAGGCGACGAGGGUCCAGAUCCGGUCGCCGGCGUCCAUCCGGGGUUUGGAAGCGCCGCGGCCAGCUGGAGAUGUCGCCAGCCAACUCUCGGGCUUCCUCUCCUCCAUCCCCGAGAUCGUCGCUCGUGGAGAUCUCGCCAGCCAAUGCCCGGGUGAGAAACAGGUGCGUCUGCUCAUCAUCUUUGUGUAGGCACCCUUCGUUCUCCACGGAUGCUCGCGACACAAUCGAAGAAACUACUCUCCCUCUCCACGACCACGUCCUCCACUCCCCCCCCC
rnacentral:misc_RNA from 1 species